GAUGAGAACGCAGUAAAAUGCGAUAAGUAAUGUGAAUUGCAGAAUUCAGUGAAUCAUCGAAUCUUUGAACGCACAUUGCGCCCGCCAGUAUUCUGGCGGGCAUGCCUGUUCGAGCGUCAUUUCAACCCUCAAGCUCAGCUUGGUGUUGGGACUCGCGGUAACCCGCGUUCCCCAAAUCGAUUGGCGGUCACGUCGAGCUUCCAUAGCGUAGUAAUCAUACACCUCGUUACUGGUAAUCGUCGCGGCCACGCCGUAAAACCCCAACUUCUGAAUGUUGACCUCGGAUCAGGUAGGAAUACCCGCUGAACUUAAGCAUAUCAAUAAGCGGAGGA
rnacentral:misc_RNA from 1 species